rnacentral:lncRNA from 1 species
UUUCUUCCAAAGUAGAUUGAAUUUCCUCCCCUGAUUCUAGGUACAUAGCUAUUUAAACAGUUUCAGAAGGGUCUUGUUUUUGAAUUGGCUAUGAAAGUUUUCCCCAUAUGCCUCAUGCAUCACCUACUCUUCAAGUCCGGCCACUACGCUAUUCUGUGACGUUCCACAUUGCCAUUUAGUAGGUCUUUGAUUGCUUGUAAAAUGCCUUUUUGCCGAUCAUGAAUGAUACAAAUAUCCUCUACGUCCUUCA